GGUUGACCUCGGAUCAGGUAGGGAUA
rnacentral:ncRNA from 81 species